rnacentral:tRNA from 1 species
AGUCUUAAAUAAAUCUUAAAUUGCAAAUUUAAGAAUGCUUUAAUAAGCUAAGGCUU